ensembl:snRNA U6 U6 spliceosomal RNA
GUGCUCACUUUGGCAGCACAUAAAGUAAAAUUAGAACCAUACAGAGUACAUUAAAAUGGCCCCUGUACAAGGAUGACAUGCAAAUUCAUGAAACGUUCAAUAUUUUU